CGCAAGCCUGACGGAGCAAGACCGCGUGCGGGAUGACGGCCUAAUGGUUGUAAACCGCUUUUCUCUGGGAAGAUGAUGACGGUACCAGAGGAAUCAGCCUCGGCUAACUCCGUGCCAGCAGCCGCGGUAAGACGGAGGAUGCAAGCGUUAUCCGGAAUUAUUGGGCGUAAAGCGUCCGUAGGCGGUUUAUCAAGUCUGCCGUUAAAGACUGCAGCUUAACUGUGGGCGAGCGGUGGAAACUGAUGAACUAGAGUACGGUAGGGGUAGAGGGAAUUCCCAGUGUAGCGGUGAAAUGCGUAGAUAUUGGGAAGAACACCAGUGGCGAAGGCGCUCUACUGGGCUGCAACUGACGCUGAGGGACGAAAGCUAGGGGAGCG
rnacentral:rRNA from 1 species